GAUGAACGCUGGCGGCGUGCCUCAGACAUGCAAGUCGAGCGGGGCUAUGUAAUACCGCAAGGUAGAACAUAGCCUAGCGGCGAACGGGUGAGUAACACGUGGGUAACCUGCCUGGAAGACAGGGAUAACGAUUCGAAAGGGUCGCUAAUACCUGAUAAUAUCCUUUCAUCGCAUGGUGAUAGGAAGAAAGGGGAAACCCGCUUUCAGAUGGGCCCGCGUCCCAUCAGCUAGUUGGUAAGGUAAAGGCUUACCAAGGCGACGACGGGUAGCCGGUCUGAGAGGAUGUACGGCCACACUGGAACUGAGACACGGUCCAGACUCCUACGGGGGCAGCAGUGGGGAAUCUUCCACAAUGGGCGAAAGCCUGAUGGAGCGACGCCGCGUGAGCGAAGAAGGCCUUCGGGUUGUUAAAGCUCUGUCUGGAGGGACGAAGGAAGUGACGGUACCUCCGGAGGAAGCCACGGCUAACUACGUGCCAGCAGCCGCGGUAAGGAGUAGUACA
rnacentral:rRNA from 1 species